UACGUAGGGGGCAAGCGUUGUCCGGAAUCAUUGGGCGUAAAGCGCGUGUAGGCGGCCCGGUAAGUCCGCUGUGAAAGUCCAGGGCUCAACCCUGGGAUGCCGGUGGAUACUGUCGGGCUCGAGUCCGGAAGAGGCGAGUGGAAUUCCUGGUGUAGCGGUGAAAUGGCGCAGAUAUCAGGAGGAACACCAAUGGCGAAGGCAGCUCGCUGGGACGUGACUGACGCUGAGACGCGAAAGCGUGGGGAGCAAACAGG
rnacentral:rRNA from 1 species